rnacentral:rRNA from 1 species
GAGGCCUACCAUGGUGGUAACGGGUAACGGGGUGUUAGGGCACGACACCGGAGAGGGAGCCUGUGAAACGGCUACCACAUCCAAGGAUGGCAGCAGGCGCGCAAAUUACCCAAUCCCGACACGGGGAGGUAGUGACAAUAAAUAACAAUACGGGGUUCUUUAGGAUCUCGUAAUUGGAAUGAGUACAAUUUAAAUCUCUUAACGAGGAACAAUUGGAGGGCAAGUCUGGUGCCAGCAGCCGCGGUAAUUCCAGCUCCAAUAGCGUAUAUUAAAGUUGUUGCAGUUAAAAAGCUCGUAGUUGAAUUUCGGGGUUAGUAGGUUGGUCAUGCCUCUGGUAUGUACUGGUCUCACUGAUUCCUCCUUCCUUAUGAACCGUAAUGCCAUUAAUUUGGUGUUGCGGGGAAUUUGGACUGUUACUUUGAAAAAAUUAGAGUGUUUAAAGCAAGCUAACGCUUGAAUACAUUAGCAUGGAAUAAUGAAAUAGGACGUUCGAUCUUAUUUUGUUGGUUUCUAGGAUUGACGUAAUGAUUAAUAGGGAUAGUUGGGGGCAUUAGUAUUCAAUUGUCAGAGGUGAAAUUCUUGGAUUUAUUGAAGACUAACUACUGCGAAAGCAUUUGCCAAGGAUGUUUUCAUUAAUCAAGAACGAAAGUUAGGGGAUCGAAGACGAUCAGAUACCGUCGUAGUCUUAACCAUAAACUAUGCCGACUAGGGAUCGGAUGA